GGAGACUGCACCUGUAUCGCACAACUCCGUGAUGCGGGAAAGAUGAUAAUCAAGAGCGUGUCCUAUAUCACCAUUGAACCAGAUCAAGGGAACCAUCGUCAAUUGGCGACGCACCAAGUACACGGCACUGCGGCUUAGGUAUCCAGCUAAAGUACGGUGAGAACAAACGCAAGGGGAGAGAAUGCCUGUGGCGUAAGGAAAUAUCCAGGAAACAGAAGAAAAGGAUUUAUUUCG